GACGAACGCUGGCGGCGCGCCUAACACAUGCAAGUCGAACGAGCGAGAGAGAGCUUGCUUUCUCAAGCGAGUGGCGAACGGGUGAGUAACGCGUGAGGAACCUGCCUCAAAGAGGGGGACAACAGUUGGAAACGACUGCUAAUACCGCAUAAGCCCACAGGUCGGCAUCGACCAGAGGGAAAAGGAGCAAUCCGCUUUGGGAUGGCCUCGCGUCCGAUUAGCUAGUUGGUGAGGUAACGGCCCACCAAGGCAACGAUCGGUAGCCGGACUGAGAGGUUGACCGGCCACAUUGGGACUGAGACACGGCCCAGACUCCUACGGGAGGCAGCAGUGGGGAAUAUUGCACAAUGGGGGAAACCCUGAUGCAGCGACGCCGCGUGGAGGAAGAAGGUCUUCGGAUUGUAAACUCCUGUUGUUGAGGAAGAUAAUGACGGUACUCAACAAGGAAGUGACGGCUAACUACGUG
rnacentral:rRNA from 1 species